rnacentral:misc_RNA from 1 species
GAGAGAGAGAGAGAGAGCUAAAAUGGCAUGAUCACAACCUUAGAUUUAAGUCUAGCGUUUGCAAAUCUGAAGCCUGUUCUCUGUCUACACGGAAGCUUCCUGGCCAGACCAAAUCCAUUGCUUCUUCAAGCAUAACCGGUGUCCAAGCCAAGCCAAAACCUGCAUUUGCAUCCCCAAAUCGAGCUACCAAAUUAGUCCCUUCUCUGCUGGGCUUGUGUACAAGUGAAUGAGCUUGGACGCCAAGUGAUCUAACCGAGACAGGAUUGAAUGGAAGCCCUACUGCUGUUGUACUUGCCAUCAUCAUUCUAUGAGACUGGAACCUCUUAGCAGCUCCUCUUUCUCUUUUGUGUGCAUUCUGAUGACCUCCCAAGGCUUGUGAGCUAUAAAACUUUCUCAUGCAAAAGUUGCAUGAGAAUACCCUGUUACUAGCAGUAACACUACCAGGUUUUGAUAAUGAUACAGGAUCAUAGUCCGCAGCUGCAACAGGCUGAUGUUUAUUGAGGCCUAGACUCAACCAUUCCUUCAUAUUAUCAUCUUCAGCUCGUGUUUGAUCCUUGUCGGAGACUUUUGAUUCGGCAUCUUGGUUAUUGAGAGAAGAUAUCUCUGUUGCUUCUUCUUCCUCACCCUGGAAAAUCAUGGCAGCAGAACUCUCAAUUUACUGUGAAGUUUUUGAUAUUAGAGGUAAAGGGUGUUGUGGGUGUCUGGUAUUAUAUAAAUAGAGAGAGAGAUCAAGGAGGAAUUUAAUAGACAAGAGAAGAGGGUAUUAUAUAAAGAAGAGGAAGUGGGAGAGGAUAAUAUUAAAAUUUCAUCUCUGAAUUUUUAUCUGAGUGAUCCCAGAUCAGGGAUGAUAGCUACUUUAAGGGGGGGCAAAUGCUUAUGUCAACAAAUAGAGUUCGUUGUUUCAUAGCUUAGGAUUCCUGACUCAUCAUUUUCAACUUUUUAAUACACUUCUUAUAGCAUCAUAAAGAUGAUCCUCUUGAGAC